rnacentral:misc_RNA from 1 species
UCUGGGUUUAUCCCAGCGGUCCCGUUAGAGAAAUAUAACUAACGGCGGGGGUUGCGCUCGUCGCGGGACUUAACCCAACACCUCACGGCACGAGCUGACGACAGCCAUGCAGCACCUGUGCUAGCUGCCCUUGCGGGCUCAUAGCCGUUUCCGAUUCUUACUACUAGCAUGUCAAGCCUGGGUAAGGUUCUUCGCGUUGCGUCGAAUUGAACCACAUGUUCCACCGCUUGUGCGGGCCCCCGUCAAUUCCUUUGAGUUGCAGCCUUGCGACCGUACUCCCCAGGCGCAGGACUUAACGCGUUAGCUACGGGACGCACCCCCAACGGGAUGCACCCCAAGUCCUGAUCGUUUAGGGCUAGGACUAC